CCCACCCAGCCGCCGCCCCACGUGCCCUGCCCGCGGCGGCCCACGGUGCUCUGCAGACCCCAGCCCCAGCGGGGACCUCUGGCCUUCGCUACUCCUUAAAUAUUGAUCAAGUACCUCGUGUGUGCUGGACGCUGCUUUGGAACUAGGGGUAAAAUGGUAAACGAGACAGAACAAAGUCCUUGCUGUCAAGGAAUCUCCAUCCUAAACUGGCAGACGAGAAAUGAGUAAUAAAGUCAAUGAUUAUUGUCAUUUUA